rnacentral:rRNA from 1 species
UACAGAGGGUGCGAGCGUUGUUCGGAAUUAUUGGGCGUAAAGCGCUUGUAGGCGGCCUGUCAAGUCGCGUGUGAAAUCCCCUGGCUUAACCAGGGAAGUGCGCGCGAAACUGAAGGGCUUGAGUGCCGGAGAGGGUCGCGGAAUUCCCGGUGUAGAGGUGAAAUUCGUAGAUAUCGGGAGGAACACCAAUGGCGAAGGCGGCGACCUGGACGGACACUGACGCUGAGACGCGAAAGCGUGGGGAGCAAACAGG